rnacentral:lncRNA from 1 species
CUGAGCUUCUACUUACCCACUUGCAGCAAAGAUGAGCAUCACAGGUACGUGCUGUGCUGAGCACUCUGUCAGGUCUGUGACAGUCAACAGCAAAUAAAGAACUGCAAACCAGAGCACAAGUUGUCAUUAUCAAGUGAGCCAUUCCUUCCAAAAACAGAUGGAGAGAGAUGCCACUCCUUAUUUUACAAAAUGCAUAUUUAGAAGAGCUGACUGGGGCUGGGAGCUGCCCUUUUCCUGGAGUAGGACAACCUUGCCAGCUGGGCGUUUGGAGGACAGCAAGGAGUUUGCCCACAACUGGGAAGAGCAGGAAGAACACAGAGAGCAAGGCCUUGGAGGAGGCACAAGAAAAGACUGCUAAAGGAGUCAGAGCACUACUUCUGCAGUUUUCCAAAGCCAACAUACUGGCCCUGAGCCUAGCGGACAUCACUGAUGUGCAUGUAUGUAAGGGGUUUGUAUGGAUGUUCAACUCUAUCUUGUCUUUGGCAGUUUGAAUUUUACCUGCUCUAAAAUGGUGGUUGUCAUCUCUCCUGAUGUAACCAUUCCCCGUGUUUAAAGACAACAAAUACAAAAUAUCUGUAAAUACAAGUCUGAAUUUUAUAAGGCCUUUUGGUCUUAAACAGGUGCUUGCAGUUUUACCACAAAGCUUCUAAAACUUCCAGUUGUGAAAAUAAUUUUUAAGUCCUGCUAGAAGCUUGCAAAUGAUGGAAGAUUAAAGGUUAUGGUACCAAAUUAUAACAAAAAUCCAAAUAUAUACUUUCAAAGAGAAAUAUGCUUAAUAUUUGCUGCCAUUACUUUUAGCAUUUAAGUUUUGGUAUGAGCAGCCUCAAGUACUUGCCAAGUUUUUAUAGGUAACCUGUUGUUUGCAAAUCAAAGAAAUAUCCCAUUUCCUGACCUUUGACUUUUUGUUUGUUCUCACACACACAAUAUUUGAUUCAUAAGAGAAAAUUUUAGUAUUCGCUAUUAGGCUUAGAUACUUUUGCAGUUAAUGUAUGACUUUCAACUUAAUCUUGUUUUUCUUUAAUUUUUUGUGCUAGGUGUUUUUCUUGAAAAUGUGUUAAAAUGUAAGUCAGCUGACUUCCUUCAUAGGUAAUAAAUAAAAUAAGAUUUUCCUCUUGUGCUAUUUU